rnacentral:rRNA from 1 species
AAAAACAUUGCCUUUUGAGCCCACCAUAAAAGGUCCGCCCUGCCCAGUGACGCUCAGUUAAACGGCCGCGGUACCCUGACCGUGCAAAGGUAGCAUAAUAAUUUGCCUCCUAAUUAGAGGCUAGUAUGAAUGGGUAAACGAGAGCAAUCCUGUCUCCUAUAGUUCACUAAAAAUUUAUCUCCAAGUGAAAAAGCUUGGAUCCGCCUACAGGACAAGAAGACCCUGUCGAGCUUUAUUACUCCCCUACCUCUACCACAACCCUCCUAGUGAGACCAAGGUUCAAGGUAAACCUAAUUUUGUUGGGGCGACAAAGGAGCACCCAAACCCUCCAUUUACUUAAAAGACCAACAAGUCUCCUAUAAUAGACCCGCACUAUAGCGCACAAAGGAAAAGCUACCGCAGGGAUAACAGGCUAAUCCUCCUUGAGAGCCCACAUUGACAGGAGGGCUUGGCACCUCGAUGUUGGCUUAGGGCUGCUUCUAAAUGCAGAAGUUUAGAAAAGCAAGUUUGUUCAACUUAUAAUCCCCUACGUGAUCUGAGUUCAGACCGGC